rnacentral:rRNA from 1 species
AAUGAACGCUGUCUGCAUGGAUUAGGCAUGCAAGUCGAACGAGAAGCUUAUCAUUGAUCCUUCGGGUGAUUUGUUAAGUGGAAAGUGGCGAAAGGGUGAGUAACGCGUGAGCAACCUGCCUCUAUGUCGGGGACAACAGUUGGAAACGACUGCUAAUACCGGAUGUGGCUUCUUUAUCGCAUGUUUUAGAAGCUAAAGAUUUAUUGCAUAGAGAUGGGCUCGCGUUCCAUUAGCUAGUUGGUGAGGUAACGGCUCACCAAGGCGACGAUGGAUAGGUGGUCUGAGAGGACGAUCACCCACACUGGGACUGAGACACUGCCCAGACUCCUACGGGAGGCUGCAGUCGAGAAUCUUCCGCAAUGCGCGAAAGCGUGACGGAGCAAUGCAGAGUGUGUGAUGAAGGCCUUCGGGUUGUAAAGCACUGUCAACGAGGACGAAUAAAAUGACGGUACUCGUAGAGGAAGCACCGGCUAAAUACG